CAGUCGCCACGGGAAUACGUAGGGUGCAAGCGUUAAUCGGAAUUACAGGGCGUAAAGCGUGCGCAGGCGGUUAUAUAAGACAGAUGUGAAAUCCCCGGGCUCAACCUGGGAACUGCAUUUGUGACUGUAUAGCUAGAGUACGGCAGAGGGGGAUGGAAUUCCGCGUGUAGCAGUGAAAUGCGUAGAUAUGCGGAGGAACACCGAUGGCGAAGGCAAUCCCCUGGGCCUGUACUGACGCUCAUGCACGAAAGCGUGGGGAGCAAACAGGAUUAGAUACCCCGGUAGUCCCUGUCUCUUAUAC
rnacentral:rRNA from 1 species